rnacentral:tRNA from 1 species
GGAAUAUUAUGUCAAGGUUAAAAGCUUCUAACUUUCUUCCAAGCGGUUAAAUUCCGUUUAUAUUCCU